UACAAUAUGAAGAGGGUGAGUGUUCUGUGAUUACACUUAGCAGCUCUGCACAUCCCUCUAGGAGGGUUUGAGCUGACAGGGCACGCACACACUGAUCUUUGAGAGAGACAAAAGUCCACCUGGUGCCUGCGUGCUGAGGUCACCUGUAAGCCUGAAAUCUGCCUGCACCUUGAUCAGUCUGAGUCCUGCUGGGGUCUGUCAGGUCCACAGAAUGAAGCUAGAAGAGAUUUAGACUCUACAAGUAGUUAUUCGGUCUAACCUGGUACAAGGUUGCUUAUUCUACACCCUGGCCCCCAGCUCAGCAUGGUGCACAGUAUUCAAAGGUGUGCCCUGCUAAGUUAGCUGUGCAGCUAGAAUCUUCGCCCCAUUAGAGUACAAAGGCAGGGUCUCCCUGGUCCAUGACCUCUCGGCUGCCCUUUGCCCUUUGCUCUCCGUCUCUUCAGGGACUGACUAGAAACAAGCAGGAAAUAAUCAGCUUCCACAACCCUUCCGAAUGCCGGGGGGGUUUUAAAGGUAAACACUGAAGGUGCCUGUGAGGUUUCUCACAUGCUCGCCACCUCUCCAAUCUCAGCACCUUCCUGGCCUGGUUCAAUAGAAAUGUCUAAGGAAAGUGCACUGGGCAGAGCACAGCAGGCUCUGCCGCAUCCAAGUGUCCCUGUGGCUUUGAACUCUGGGAGUGCGUUGGUCAGGCUUUGAGGAUAAUUGGAGACCUAAGUCUCCAGCUUCUUUGCUGUUUUUAUGGAGCUGGCGUGAGACAUUUCAAGUCUGCAGAUCAAAGCCUUGCUGCUUUUAAUCGACUUGAAGCUUACUUAACUCCUUUCAGGGCAAAGUGUAGCGACCUGCCAGCUUGUUUAACAGGGAGAAAAUAUUACCAAAGAAAGACAUAAGGCCUGGGGGUUAUUUGAAUUUGAUCAAGUUAGGCUUUUCCAUGCUUUUGAAGAAUGCCUGUAUGACCCAAAACAGAAGGACAAAGGAUGCACUGAGGUGUUUUUCAAUAACAGUCACACUGCAACUGUGUAACUCUGUCCACUUUGUGUAAGCAAUAGAGUGUGCUUAACCUAGGCUUAGGCAGCAGUCAUGUUACUAAGUGACAGAAUCUCACAGGACUGCUGUCCUAUGUGUGGUCCACUAGUGACCAGAAGUCAUCAUGCAGUGUGGGAUUGUGUGAGUUUGGGGUUUCGGAUCCCACUGUUCUCAGGGAGAGCCUUCCUUUCUAGGGAAAUUGAAAGGUGGGGUGACUUGGUAAUAGCAGCACUCCUGUGAGACUCCAGUGCUCCUCUGAAAAGUCCCUCCCAGGGGCCGGAAAGAUGGCUCUGCAGUUAAGAGCAUCUUAACUUGUUGUUCUUGCUGAAGACCCAGUCUCUAACUCCAAAUGAGCCCUACGUCCACAUGGGUCCACAAAGAGAAAUGCAGGCAGAACACCAUACACAUAAAAUAAUAAAAUAAUUUUACAAAGAAAACAUUUUUU
rnacentral:lncRNA from 1 species